rnacentral:rRNA from 1 species
CCUACGGGAGGCUGCAGUGAGGAAUAUUGGUCAAUGGACGAGAGUCUGAACCAGCCAAGUAGCGUGAAGGAUGACUGCCCUAUGGGUUGUAAACUUCUUUUAUAUGGGAAUAAAACAGGGUAUGCAUACCCUCUUGUAUGUACCAUAUGAAUAAGGAUCGGCUAACUCCGUGCCAGCAGCCGCGGUAAUACGGAGGAUCCGAGCGUUAUCCGGAUUUAUUGGGUUUAAAGGGAGCGUAGGUGGAUUGUUAAGUCAGUUGUGAAAGUUUGCGGCUCAACCGUAAAAUUGCAGUUGAAACUGGCAGUCUUGAGUGCAGUAGAGGUGGGCGGAAUUCGUGGUGUAGCGGUGAAAUGCUUAGAUAUCACGAAGAACUCCGAUUGCGAAGGCAGCUUACUGGACUGCAACUGACACUGAUGCUCGAAAGUGUGGGUAUCAAACAGGAUUAGAUACCCCUGUAGUC